rnacentral:rRNA from 1 species
UACGGGAGGCAGCAGUGAGGAAUAUUGGUCAAUGGGCGAGAGCCUGAACCAGCCAAGUAGCGUGCAGGACGACGGCCCUAUGGGUUGUAAACUGCUUUUAUGCGGGGAUAAAGUUCACUACGUGUAGUGUUUUGUAGGUACCGCAUGAAUAAGGACCGGCUAAU